rnacentral:rRNA from 1 species
CAUGUGGUUUAAUUCGAAGCAACGCGAAGAACUUACCAGGUCUUGACAUCCCGAUGCUAUUUCUAGAGAUAGAAAGUUACUUCGGUACAUCGGUGACAGGUGGUGCAUGGUUGUCGUCAGCUCGUGUCGUGAGAUGUUGGGUUAAGUCCCGCAACGAGCGCAACCCCUAUUGUUAGUUGCCAUCAUUCAGUUGGGCACUCUAGCGAGACUGCCGGUAAUAAACCGGAGGAAGGUGGGGAUGACGUCAAAUCAUCAUGCCCCUUAUGACCUGGGCUACACACGUGCUACAAUGGUUGGUACAGCGAGAAGCAAGUCAGCGAUGGCAAGCAAAUCUCUAAAAGCCGAUCCCAGUUCGGAUUGCAGGCUGCAACUCGCCUGCAUGAAGUCGGAGUUGCUAGUAAUCGCGGAUCAGAAUGCCGCGGUGAAUGCGUUCCCGGGUCUU